UCGAGGAUCAUUUGCAAUGGGCGAAAGCCUGACAAUGCGACAGGCGCGUGGAGGAUGAACGCCUUCGGGUUGUAAACUCCUGUCAUAAGGGAACAGGCGAGGGGACCCAAUACGUCCCCGAGUUGAGUGUUCUUUAGGAGGAAGCGACGGCUAACUCUGUGCCAGCAGCCGCGGUAAUACAGAGGUCGCAAGCGUGGUUCGCGAUUUACUGGGCGUAAAGGGCGCGUAGGCGGCAUUGCGUGUCAGAUGUGAAAUCUCCGGGCUCAACCCGGAAAGCGCGUCUGAAACUACAAUGCUCGAGUUUUGGAGAGGGAAUCGGAAUAUAGGGUGUAGCGGUGAAAUGCGUUGAUAUCCUAUAGAACACCGGAGGCGAAGGCGGAUUCCUUGAACAGCACUGACGCUGAGGCGCGAAAGUCGGGGGAGCAAACAGGAUUAGAUACCCUGGUAGUCCCGACCUUAAACGGUGCACACUCGGGGUGGGGCCAUUUCACCGGUCCCGUCCCUUAGCUAACGCGUUAAGUGUGCCGCCUGGGGAGUACGGCCGCAAGGCUAAAACUCAAAGAAAUUGACGGGGGCCCGCACAAGCAGAGGAGCAUGUGGCUUAAUUCGAUGCAACGCGAAGAACCUUACCUGGAUUUGACAUCGUCGGCAAUGCCCUGUGAAAGCAGGGCGGAGGUUACCCGAUAGACAGGUGCUGCAUGGCUGUCGUCAGUUCGUGCCGUGAGGUGUUUGGUUAAGUCCACCAACGAACGCAACCCCUUUGACGUGUUGCCAGCGGGUAAAGCCGGGAACUCGCGUCACACUGCCUGUUUACGCAGGAGGAAGGUGGGGAUGACGUCAAGUCAGUAUGGCCCUUACAUCCAGGGCUGCACACGUGCUACAAUGGCGCAUACAGAGCGACGCAAGACCGCAAGGUGGAGCCAAUCGCAGAGAGUGCGCCUCAGUUCAGAUCGGGGUCUGCAACCCGACCCCGUGAAGUCGGAUUUGCUAGUAACGGCGUAUCAGCUACGACGCCGUGAAUGCGUUCCCGGGCCUUGCACUCACCGCCCGUCA
rnacentral:rRNA from 1 species